UUUAAUGAGAGUUUGAUCCUGGCUCAGGACGAACGCUGGCGGCGUGCCUAAUACAUGCAAGUAGAACGCUGAGGUUUGGUGUUUACACUAGACUGAUGAGUUGCGAACGGGUGAGUAACGCGUAGGUAACCUGCCUCAUAGCGGGGGAUAACUAUUGGAAACGAUAGCUAAUACCGCAUAAGAGUAAUUAACACAUGUUAGUUAUUUAAAAGGAGCAAUUGCUUCACUGUGAGAUGGACCUGCGUUGUAUUA
rnacentral:rRNA from 2 species